AUGAACGCUGGUGGCGUGCCUAACACAUGCAAGUCGAGCGAUUCUCUUCGGAGAAGAGCGGCGGACGGGUGAGUAACGCGUGGGUAACCUGCCCUGUACACACGGAUAACAUACCGAAAGGUAUGCUAAUACGAGAUAACAUGCUUUUAUCGCAUGGUAGAAGUAUCAAAGCUUUUGCGGUACAGGAUGGACCCGCGUCUGAUUAGCUAGUUGGUGAGGUAACGGCUCACCAAGGCGACGAUCAGUAGCCGACCUGAGAGGGUGAUCGGCCACAUUGGAACUGAGACACGGUCCAAACUCCUACGGGAGGCAGCAGUGGGGAAUAUUGCACAAUGGGCGAAAGCCUGAUGCAGCAACGCCGCGUGAGCGAUGAAGGCCUUCGGGUCGUAAAGCUCUGUCCUCAAGGAAGAUAAUGACGGUACUUGAGGAGGAAGCCCCGGCUAACUACGUG
rnacentral:rRNA from 1 species